AGAGUUUGAUCCUGGCUCAGGACGAACGCUGGCGGCGUGCUUAACACAUGCAAGUCGAACGGAAAGGCCCUUCGGGGUACUCGAGUGGCGAACGGGUGAGUAACACGUGGGUGAUCUGCCCUGCACUCUGGGAUAAGCCUGGGAAACUGGGUCUAAUACCGGAUAGGACCGCAUGCUUCAUGGUGUGUGGUGCAAAGCUUUUGCGGUGUGGGAUGAGCCCGCGGCCUAUCAGCUUGUUGGUGGGGUAAUGGCCUACCAAGGCGACGACGGGUAGCCGGCCUGAGAGGGUGACCGGCCACACUGGGACUGAGAUACGGCCCAGACUCCUACGGGAGGCAGCAGUGGGGAAUAUUGCACAAUGGGCGCAAGCCUGAUGCAGCGACGCCGCGUGAGGGAUGACGGCCUUCGGGUUGUAAACCUCUUUCAGUAGGGACGAAGCGAAAGUGACGGUACCUACAGAAGAAGGACCGACCAACUACGUGCCAGCAGCCGCGGUAAUACGUAGGGUCCGAGCGUUGUCCGGAAUUACUGGGCGUAAAGAGCUCGUAGGUGGUUUGUCGCGUUGUUCGUGAAAACUCACAGCUUAACUGUGGGCGUGCGGGCGAUACGGGCAGACUAGAGUACUGCAGGGGAGACUGGAAUUCCUGGUGUAGCGGUGGAAUGCGCAGAUAUCAGGAGGAACACCGGUGGCGAAGGCGGGUCUCUGGGCAGUAACUGACGCUGAGGAGCGAAAGCGUGGGUAGCGAACAGGAUUAGAUACCCUGGUAGUC
rnacentral:rRNA from 1 species